rnacentral:rRNA from 1 species
UACGGGGGGAGCAAGCGUUGUUCGGAUUUACUGGGCGUAAAGGGCGCGUAGGCGGCCACCGCAAGUCGACUGUGAAAUCUCCGGGCUUAACCCGGAAAGGUCAGCCGAUACUGCGGGGCUAGAGUGCAGAAGGGGCAACUGGAAUUCUCGGUGUAGCGGUGAAAUGCGUAGAUAUCGAGAGGAACACCUGCGGCGAAGGCGGGUUGCUGGGCUGAUACUGACGCUGAGGCGCGAAAGCCAGGGAGCGAACGGG